UACAGAGGGUGCGAGCGUUAAUCGGAAUUACUGGGCGUAAAGGGCGCGUAGGCGGUUGUAUAAGUUAGGUGUGAAAUCCCCGGGCUUAACCUGGGAAUGGCAUUUAAUACUGUAUGACUAGAGUAGGGUAGAGGGAAGUGGAAUUUCCGGUGUAGCGGUGAAAUGCGUAGAUAUCGGAAAGAACACCAGUGGCGAAGGCGGCUUCCUGGACUCAUACUGACGUUGAGGCGCGAAAGCGUGGGUAGCAAACAGG
rnacentral:rRNA from 1 species